GGGAGGGGGCUUGGCCACUUCCUGUGGUUUCUGAUUGGCCAAUCUGCCAUACCCCCCUCACACCCUCUUGUGUUCAAUUAAGACUUAAUUAGGCCCAACACUUUCUUUAUAAAAGUUACCAAUGACUUAAUUCCUAUCUAAAACCUCUUAAAAAAAUAGAGCAAGGGGGAAAUUUAAAAUUAUUUUCCAAAAGAUAAAACACUAGACUAGGCUCUGGCUGGGUUAGGUUUGGGAAGGUCUUAGCCCAAUCAAGGGCUAGAGUUGCACUGGCACAAGUCUUAUGCUUAUAUUUUAUGGUUUUUUUCAUCCCCAGGAAAAAGGUGAAGAGGAGGAUUAUAUUCCCAUCAAGGUAGGUAUCCUAGUAGGUAAGUAUCCCAGGUAAGUAAAAGACUAAAUACCCUAUACUGUAGAUCUGUGUUGAUCUUCUUUCUUUUUUUGUCCUACAGGAACCUUUCUGCCCCCCACUGGUCACCACAGGUAAGUAUCCCAGGUAAGAAGGUAUGUGCAUAUAUACACUUUUUUCUGAUUCCUGAUAUUGUUAAAUCACUUUUUCUCCUUCCACAGGAAUCCCUCACCUCCCACCUGGAAGACAGCAGGGGGUAUACAACCUUUAGAUGUUCAUAUUAAUAAAUCACCAAUCCAUAAUUUUAACAUUGUCUCUGCGGUUUCAGUGGUCCAGAGAACCGGAUCCCGUCCCGUUACCUGGAAUUGGCGUUGAUCCAUCUCAGGUUUUCCCAAGCUGCUGCAGCUGUUUCACUGUGGUCCUGGGUUUCUGUCUAUCCAGACAGUUCACCAUCCCCACUGACAGAAUCACAUGUUCUGUGUUUGGGUUCGGCGUCAGCUUCUCCAGUAUCCCCCUUAAAUGAUGGCAGUUUGCCCCUGGGAAACUGUCAACCUGGAUAUGUUCAUCCUUAAAAGUCGGAUGGAUAACGGGCUCCUCUCUGAGGAGGACCUUUGGCUGUGACUGGCUGAGAGCGUGACGGAGAUGUUCCAGAGGCCUCUAAAGUUUCCCUCAUCCCUACCAAAGGUAAGUAUCCAUGCCCCUGGGCGACAACACUGAUGGGGGGCCCCAGCCUGGUUGGGGCUGUGCCCCCUCUCCCUGUGGAUGCAGGCAAUGGUGGAAAGGCCUCCGGAUCUGGUUGGAGGGUUUGAGAAGAUGGACUUUCUCCCGGGGAGGUAAGUAUAUCCCGCAAUGUUUUCACUGAUGUUGUUGUGAAUUUGCGUUUAUAUCUCAACCUGCCCCAGCCCACCGCCAAUCGGAAAGCCUCCUCAUCCAUCACAGGUAAGUCGCUCAGUAAAAAGACCAGCAAAUCAUCAUAAUGACGUUUUAAAAUUUCCAGGUUCCCCUCUAACCAUUUGUUGGUGUUGAUUUUCACCUUACUGGUGGUUUCAGACGAGGGGGACGCAGGCUUAAUAAAAGUUGUUAAUUUAUUAACCUGCCUCUGCAUCCCUCUUGGACAGGACCCCUUGGAGAUGGAAUCAUCCAGGAUCUCUGUGUGAUGCAGAGCUUGGAGAAGUUUAAAAUAGAUUUUGGCCAGUGGGACAUUCAGGCAUUUGGGAUGGUUUCUCCCGUUUCCUGUUUCUGUUGGUCCCACUUCCAUACUCCUUAUAAAAAGUAAAACCGCUAAAACUGCUAAAAGUAUUUCUAAAAUGUCUCAAUAAAAUUGUUUAGACAUAAAUAAAGUGCAUCUAUUGCCUAUGGUAUUUUCAUAUUUAGUCCUUUUAUUGCACAUAGAAAAUGAUGGCCUUUAGAAAAGCCUUUCUAAAGAGAGCCCUUACUACAAGGGUUGUCUUUUUUUGCCCCAAUGACACCUGUGCAGGGUGAAGAU